rnacentral:lncRNA from 1 species
UCUCUUCUUCACUUUUGUUUCUUGGUUCCCUUCCAUAUACUUCUAAUUUCUUUGUUAGUUGAUUUUGUUCCCUUCCAUUAUCUCUAUAAGUUUGCUGUUUGCUUUUUUUUUGGAGUUUUGCUACAUGUGUAGUUGGUUGGAUAGCAAGUUUUGGGUGGGUGAAGUAGUUCCAGAGAUUUAGUGGAAAAACAAUUAAAAAAGUGGAGAUCAAUGAUUGUUCAAAAAUAAUAAGUGAAAUGAAAACAAGAAAGAGUUAAAAAGCAAUGUAACAAGCUAUUCGUGAAAAAUUCGUG